CCUGCCAAACUGGUGGUGUGAUGUUUCUUGUUUUUUUCCACAGUUUUUUUUUUUAUUUUUAAGCAGUUAAGAGACAAAAUGGUGGAACCUUAAUCUGCUGCUGCGGCAGUUACGCAACAGGUUGUUGCUAGGUAACCACAGGUUACUCAACAGGUUGUUGCUUGGUAACCAAAGAGUGAGUGAGUGAGUUAGUUGAUGUCACCAGUCUUGUUUAUCUAGCAGUGACAGGUUGAGCGGCUAAAGGCUUUCCUCUGCCUAACUCCCCCAGAAUGCUGUGCGGUUCUGAAUCAGAGUUUGGUGAAGUUAUUGGAUAUUUUAUCAGACUUUCUAUUGAAUUUGACUUUGAAGAAUUUGUCCUUUGACCUUGAAUUUGCCCAUUACUGUCUUGUUUUGGUUAACCAACAAUCUUUUCGUAAUUUUCUUAAUUUUAUUUCCAAAUCUUUAAUGAAGAUGAUGGUGGAAAAAGGGAUUUUACAUUAAAUUAAGAAAACCCUGAGCAUCCUCUUCAUGAGACUCAUUUUUACUGAGAAUCAUAAAACUUCCUAGGCUACAAAAAAUAAAUCAUAUUUUUGUCAUUUUCACAAUAAAAAAAAAGAUAAAACCAUUUACAUGACAUAGGAUAAGUACUGCCUUUAUUGCCAUAUAUGAAGCUGGAAGCUAAUGUUGCUAGGUUCAGUAUUCUCUUUCACAUAAUCAGAAUAUGUAAAUAAAAAAGGGACUAAUUGAAAUCCUGCUGAAUAACAGCCUGAUGUUUCCAGAUGCAUCUCGUGUUUGUGAUCGCUUUGAAAUGCUAAAGCGGCUCUUCGCCGGCGCUGUGGGUUCAGUGAUGCUCUCAAACAGUCCGUCCACGUCUGUCUCUUCUCAUACGACCUGCUAUUCACAGGCAAAUGGACCUCCAUACCUCUGUUGUGGUCCAACAGGGAGAACAGAAUAAGCUUUGUACUUUAAAAUGGAAACAACGGGAGUAUGAGCACAGUUUCUGAAGAAAUGUUUUGUUUUCGUAAAACCUUUAAGAAUUGUUGUUUCUCGGUAUUAACUGAUAUUUAUCUAAUUUCUGUUAGAUACUAGCUGUUUUUAUUUCUAGAUAUUUUUCCUAUGACAAACACAAAAAUCUACGUAUGUCUUUUAUUGAGAGAAAAAAUGAUGCGUGGCUUCAAGAUGGUUUCAGAACCAGCUUUUAUUGCAAUAACAGCUACAAGUCUUUAAGAUAUAUGUUUCUACCAAAUCUGCAUAUCUAGAGAGAGAAAUGUUUGUUUAUUCAUCUUUGCAUAACAACUCAAGCACGUCCCAUGUUUCCACACGUCUCAUCUCUGGUUUCAUCAAAUGAUGCAACAGUUUGGGACGUUUUGUGUUUUAAAUUGUUUGUAUCAGGCUUCUACUAGUACCGUUUGCGAUCAAUUGCAACUCCAAAAAUCUGAUUUCACUCACGUUUGUAAUUGGAAUAUUGAUCAUCAAAAGACUGGACUUUGUUGUUAUUUGUGUUGAAUAAAAAAGUUGUUUUGUUAUAGUUUCAUGUUAUUUAGUUUAUUUCUGGUGAGUCUGAGGAAGCCUUUGAUAUUCUCUUUACUUACCUUUCACCAAACUGAACUUCACCGCCUUUUUUUAAUGAACGAUCCAAAUAUAAAUAAUCUGAACUGAACUUGAUUUAUUUAUGAAACUAUUUGGAAAAACAUGAAUCCUUUUCCUUCUGCUUCACAAAUUCUUUGUGCUGGGUGGUUACAUGAAUACAUAAAAGUUUGUGGUUGUUACAUGAGAAAAUGUUUAAGGAAAACUUCUGUAAGACACUCUUAAAGACCGACCCUUUAAAACAAGUCAAUGUAGACUAUUAUUGUAAAAUCUUUAAAUAAAACUCUUGCCAUAAAUGA